rnacentral:rRNA from 1 species
ACGAACGCUAGCGGCGUGCUUAACACAUGCAAGUCGAAGCGGUAAGGCCCUUUCGGGGGUACACGAGCGGCGAACGGGUGAGUAACACGUGGGUGACCUGCCCUUAGCUCUGGGAUAAGCCUGGGAAACUGGGUCUAAUACCGGAUAUGACUCCAUGACGCAUGUUGUGGGGUGGAAAGCCUUGUGCGGCUAGGGAUGGGCCCGCGGCCUAUCAGCUUGUUGGUGGGUNAUGGCCUACCAAGGCGACGACGGGUAGCCGGCCUGAGAGGGCGACCGGCCACACUGGGACUGAGACACGGCCCAGACUCCUACGGGAGGCAGGCAGUGGGGAAUCUUGCGCAAUGGGCGAAAGCCUGACGCAGCGACGCCGCGUGGGGAUGACGGCC